rnacentral:rRNA from 1 species
CAGUCGCCGCGGUAAUACAGAGGGUGCGAGCGUUAAUCGGAUUUACUGGGCGUAAAGCGUGCGUAGGCGGCUUCUUAAGUCGGAUGUGAAAUCCCUGAGCUUAACUUAGGAAUUGCAUUCGAUACUGGGAAGCUAGAGUAUGGGAGAGGAUGGUAGAAUUCCAGGUGUAGCGGUGAAAUGCGUAGAGAUCUGGAGGAAUACCGAUGGCGAAGGCAGCCAUCUGGCCUAAUACUGACACUGAGGCACGAAAGCGUGGGGAGCAAACAGGAUUAGAUACCCCCGUAGUCCCUGUCUCUUAUAC